GGGCAAACACUCAGAAGCAUUUCGUUUGCCUUGAUCCUGGAGGCGCGCGGCCGUCUCCCGCUGCCGAGGAUUUGACGCAAACUCCUGGCAGAUCAGAAAUGUUCAGGUGAACGGCGGUUAUAUUUGUCCGUGGACCCAAGACUUCGUUGACGGGCAAAUACGGAACACUGCAACAAGGACUGGUGUGGAUAGCGUGCUGCGCUGGUCUCGCCAACUAAAAACAAUUCUGGUGUGCUGUAAAUACCGACUGCACAAUAUGUGACUGGCCCGCGGCCGCUUUGAAGGUAAGAUUGUGUUCUCAUUAAUCUAUUUAUUGUACCAUUUGUUGUCCAGUGACAUUGCGAGCCAACAACGAAAACCUCGAUCCAUCCAGUCUCUACAUAUUAUCUAGUUUGUGCGCUGUGGAGCUUGAAGCACUUCUCACAAUUUCAGCACACUCACA